AGCAGCCGCGGUAAUUCCAGCUCCAAUAGCGUAUAUUAAAGUUGUUGCAGUUAAAAAGCUCGUAGUUGAAUUUCGGGAUCAAUAUGUCGGUCGUGCCUUCGGUACGUACUGGCAUCAUUGAUUUCUCCCUUCUGACGAACCAUGAUGUCAUUAAUUUGGUGUCAUGGGGAGUCAGGACUGUUACUUUGAAAAAUUAGAGUGUUUAAAGCAGGCUCACGCUUGAAUACAUUAGCAUGGAAUAAUGAAAUAGGACGUUUGAUCCUAUUUUGUUGGUUUCUAGGAUCGACGUAAUGAUUAAUAGGGAUAGUUGGGGCAUUAGUAUUCAAUUGUCAGAGGUGAAAUUCUUGGAUUUAUUGAAGACUAACUACUGCGAAAGCAUUUGCCAAGGAUAGUUUUCAUUAAUCAAGAACGAAAGUUAGGGGAUCGAAGACGAUCAGAUACCGUCGUAGU
rnacentral:rRNA from 1 species